rnacentral:rRNA from 2 species
CUGCCUAUAAGACUGGGAUAACUUCGGGAAACCGGAGCUAAUACCGGAUACGUUCUUUUCUCGCAUGAGAGAAGAUGGAAAGACGGUUUACGCUGUCACUUAUAGAUGGGCCCGCGGCGCAUUAGCUAGUUGGUGAGGUAAUGGCUCACCAAGGCGACGAUGCGUAGCCGACCUGAGAGGGUGAUCGGCCACACUGGGACUGAGACACGGCCCAGACUCCUACGGGAGGCAGCAGUAGGGAAUCUUCCGCAAUGGACGAAAGUCUGACGGAGCAACGCCGCGUGAACGAAGAAGGCCUUCGGGUCGUAAAGUUCUGUUGUUAGGGAAGAACAAGUACCAGAGUAACUGCUGGUACCUUGACGGUACCUAACCAGAAAGCCACGGCUAACUACGUGCCAGCAGCCGCGGUAAUACGUAGGUGGCAAGCGUUGUCCGGAAUUAUUGGGCGUAAAGCGCGCGCAGGUGGUUCCUUAAGUCUGAUGUGAAAGCCCACGGCUCAACCGUGGAGGGUCAUUGGAAAACUGGGGAACUUGAGUGC